ACAUGGGUGGUUCAGUGGUAGAAUUCUCGCCUGCUAUGCAGGAGGCCAGGGUUCAAUUUCCAGCCCAUGCA
rnacentral:tRNA from 1 species